UGACUCCCUGUGACAGAACUGCAUCCC
rnacentral:piRNA from 1 species